rnacentral:rRNA from 1 species
AUUGAACGCUGGCGGCAGGCCUAACACAUGCAAGUCGAGCGAGCGACGGACGGGUGAGUAAUGGCUGGGAACCUGCCUGAUGGAGAGGGAUAACUGCUGGAAACGGUAGCUAAUACCGCGUACAAUCAGAUGUGGCCAGAUGGGGUUAGCUAGUAGGUGGGGUAAAGGCUCACCUAGGCGACGAUCACUAGCUGGUCUGAGAGGAUGACCAGCCACACUGGAACUGAGACACGGUCCAGACUCCUACGGGAGGCAGCAGUGGGGAAUAUUGCACAAUGGGCGCAAGCCUGAUGCAGCCAUGCCGCGUGUGUGAAGAAGGCCUUCGGGUUGUAAAGCACUUUCAGCGGGGAGGCGUUACCCGCAGAAGAAGCACCGGCUAACUCCGUGCCAGCAGCCGCGGUAAUUC